GAUGAACGCUAGCUACAGGCUUAACACAUUCAAGUCGAGGGACCGGCGUACGGGGGAGUAACGCGUAUCCAACCUUCCCAUUACUUUGGGAUAACCUGCCGAAAGGCAGACUAAUACCGCAUAGUAAGGGAUGGGGAUGCGUCGGAUUAGCUUGUUGGCGGGGUAACGGCCCACCAAGGCGACGAUCCGUAGAGGUUCUGAGAGGUAAGUCCCUCGCAUGGGAUCCGAGACUCGGGCCAAACGCCUACUGGAGGCAGCAUUGAGGAAUAUUGGUCAAUGGACGGAAUGCUGACCCAGCCAAUUAGCGUGCAGUAUGACGGCCUAUGGGUUGUAAACUGCUUGUGUAUGGGGAUAGGUACCAUAUCAAUAAGGACCGGCUCAUUCCGUGCCAGCAGCCGCUGUAUUUC
rnacentral:rRNA from 1 species